CCUACGGGUGGCAGCAGUAGGGAAUAUUGCUCAAUGGGGGAAAGCCUGAAGCAGCAACGCCGCGUGGAGGAUGACGGUUUUCGGAUUGUAAACUCCUUUUGUUAGAGAAGAUAAUGACGGUAUCUAACGAAUAAGCACCGGCUAACUCCGUGCCAGCAGCCGCGGUACUACGGAGGGUGCAAGAGUUACUCGGAAUCACUGGGGGUAAAGAGCGCGUAGGCGGGAUAGCAAGUCAGAGGUGAAAUCCUAUGGCUUAACCAUAGAACUGCAUUUGAAACUGUUAUUCUAGAGUAUGGGAGAGGUAGGUGGAAUGCUUGGUGUAGGGGUAAAAUCCGUAGAGAUCAAGAGGAAUACUCAUUGCGAAGGCGACCUGCUAGAACAUAACUGACGCUGAUGCGCGAAAGCGUGGGGAGCAAACAGGAUUAGAUACCCCAGUAGUC
rnacentral:rRNA from 1 species